GGCCACGAUCGACGGCUCUGAUGGAAGCUCUGUUUCUAGGGCUUGCGAGCUAGGGCUAGGGCUCGAGAGGAGAAAUGCAAGCGCUGAGGGCCACCGUAGCUGUGGCGCGCAACGCCAGGCCAUGGAACAAGGCGCAGAUCCGUGAGAUUCAUCCGCGCGAUGCCGAGGUAAGGAGCUUUUCGAUCGAUUGGAGAUUGAUCGCAAUUGCAGCUCUUGUCCCCGGAUCCAGCCCUCGCUCCUUUCAAGAGCAAUAAACCCACAGCGAAGAAGAUGCAAAUGGUGGGCGAUGCUACAAUUGUUUUGCUAGGACUGGGUAAGCACACCCAUUUCGUUUUCUUCCAACUCUUGGAGCUUCUCAAUGCCCUUCCUUUUUUUUUCCAGGCUUUCUCUACGAGAUCCACUAUCGAUGGCAGAAGAAAUGCGACGAAGCAAAGGAAUCGACGUAAACUGUGUACAAAUUCUAAAUAAAAAAGAAAAAAAA
rnacentral:lncRNA from 1 species